rnacentral:rRNA from 1 species
UACGGGGGGGGCAAGCGUUGUUCGGAAUUACUGGGCGUAAAGGGCGCGUAGGCGGUUCGAGAAGUCAGCUGUGAAAACCACGGGCUUAACUCGUGGCCUGCAGUUGAGACUGCCUGGCUUGAGUGUGGGAGAGGAGAGUGGAAUUCCUGGUGUAGCGGUGAAAUGCGUAGAUAUCAGGAGGAACACCGGUGGCGAAGGCGGCUCUCUGGACCACAACUGACGCUGAGGCGCGAAAGCUAGGGGAGCAAACGGG